rnacentral:rRNA from 1 species
UACGGAGGGUGCAAGCGUUAUCCGGAUUCACUGGGUUUAAAGGGAGCGUAGGUGGGCAGGUAAGUCAGUGGUGAAAUCUCUGGGCUUAACCCAGAGGCUGCUUCCGAAACUGCUGUGCUUGAGUGUGGGAGAGGCGCGUGGAAUUGCAGGUGUAGCGGUGAAAUGCGUAGAUAUCUGCAGGAACACCCGUGGCGAAAGCGGCGCGCUGGACCACUACUGACGCUGAGGAACGAAAGCUAGGGGAGCAAACAGG